GAACGCACCUUGCGCUCCUUGGUAUUCCUUGGAGCAUGCCUGUUUGAGUAUCAUGAAAUUCUCAAAGUAAAUCUUUUGUUAAUUCAAUGGACUUUGCUUUGGACUUGGAGGUCUGCAGAUUCACAGUCUGCUCCUCUUAAAUGCAUUAGCUGGAUCUCAGUGAGCUUGGUUCCACUCGGCGUGUUAAGUAUCACUCGCUGAGGACACCCGUAAAAAAGGUGGCCAGGAUUGCAGGUGAACCGCUUCUAACGGUCUAUUGGUUUAGACAAUAAAUUUAACGAUCUGAUCUCAAAUCAGGUAGGACUACCCGCUGAACUUAAG
rnacentral:misc_RNA from 1 species